rnacentral:rRNA from 1 species
UACGUAGGGACCGAGCGUUGUCCGGAUUCAUUGGGCGUAAAGAGCUCGUAGGCGGCCACUCAAGUCGAAUGUGAAACCUCGAGGCUUAACCUCGAGCCUGCAUUCGAUACUGGGCGGCUAGAGUCUGGUAGGGGGAUCUGGAAUUCCUGGUGUAGCGGUGGAAUGCGCAGAUAUCAGGAAGAACACCAAUGGCGAAAGCAGCUUUCUGGGACGGUACUGACGCUGAGACGCGAAAGCGUGGGGAGCGAACAGG